GAAUGUCAUCUUGCUGUUUUAGAAAGGCAGCCUUAGCCAAAACUAGAUUGUUCCUAGCAGUAAUUACCGAAUUAAAGGAAAACACUUUCUUGUGAAAGUUUAAUGGCAUACUGUGAACAAGGCCAAAUUCACCCCUUAAUCACACUACAGUCAUUUUAAAGUAACAACAAAGAAAACCGAGGGCUUUGCGCCAAAAAGAGUUCGCCCCUGUACACCACAAUUUUAAGAUAAAGCUGCCAGCUAAGUGAUAUCUUUUGAGCCCACCAGAGAUCCAUUACUGCCUUAACAGUACUCACAAUGCAGAAGAUAACUUUUUCUACUGAAAUGUUAUGACUUUAUUCGAGUUUAUUAGUUUUCCCUUUCCCCUCCACGCCUCCGUAUGAGAAGUCAAAGUUAUAAGUCUAACUUUGCAAUUUCUCUGUAAUCUGUUGCAUCCUUUCUAGAGAAAACCAGGAAGGGCCCACCGGAAGACGAGGAAAGUGGACCGUCGCCUCUACAGGGUGAAAUGUGGCAAUCCCCACGUCUAGUGCUCACGCACUUUACGUGUGCUCAACACUUACUUGCUGAUGAUGAAAUGAAUGUGCUGUUGGUGGAAACACUAUUAAGCAAGUGGCAAGGAAAACAUUCUAUGAAACAAUUGGGCCAGUUAUAACCUGCUUCCCCUAUCAUCGCGCCAAUUUUAUGCAAUCAUCGUCUACAAAACUGAGCAUUUAUCAUCACUGUGCAGAAUCCGAACACGACUCCCGGGAGUGUGCAGCACACUUGCCUCCAGCCGGAGCUCUACUCUUCGGAAGGCGCCUGGCAGAGAGCGCGGCUCUGCACGUGCGCUGAAAGGCGGGAGGUCAUUCCGCCCGCGGCCCUCCAGGUGAAGGAGCCAAGACCCAGAGAGCUUCAGGAUCUGACCCUUGCCAAGAAGUGGUACAAAAAUACGAAUGAACAAGGGGGAAUGUGGCCCUAAAUGUUGUCAGCGACUGCAGACCCAGAAGAUGAUUGGCAACCCAACUUCAAGUCUUAGGUGACAAGUCUUCGGGCAUGGUCAGCAAAGUACUUAAAGGGUCCCUCUCCUUGACUGACUGACUUUAACUGUCUUCUCAGCCUCACAGUUUGGCUGCUCCAUCCUUUCCUCUUCUGCUCCGUCUUCCUCGACUUAGACGAUGGGGCACCUCUGGAUAUGUAAAUCCAAACCAGUGACAAUCCAGGUUCUAAUUCUGAUGGUUUAAUCCAACUGGAAGAGAAUCUUUGGCCUGUCAAUGACAAAAUGGUUUAUAAAGAAGAAAAAAUAAAUACCAUAUACAAGUAAGUAUAACUAGCAUUCAAGUCUGUUGCACCUGUGUGUUUUAGUGAAAAGGAAGCAUGAAACCUGUAUGUUAUCUAGUGUGAGUAUUCACACAUCUAGGAAAUGGGAAAAGAUGGCAGGAUGGCAACAUCACCUAUUGCACAUUUAAGAAUAGCACUUUAAAUCGAAAUACAACUCCCCCGACGGCAUAGUCUUGUGAUGAGGGACAGUUAACUUGCGAGUUCUCGAGUCCUACGGGAACAAUGUGUGCAGAGGCAGCGCCAGGUUAGGACGGCCACUCUGUUAGCGCCGAGACGGGAGCCCUCUUCAGCUAGGCUAAGCGGGAAGAUGUCACGUGAGCGCCACCCGGCGGUCCCUGUCCCGGCACGUGUAAGUCAGCCACACCAAAACAACAAAGGCAACCCGGAAAGUUAAAUUAAGGCAGUGAAAGAAAAAUCCAUUCCAACAGUCUUAGAUUUGGCUGUGCAAAACCGGAGCCUCAGGCUACAUGACCACGUCCACAGUUGAAACUGCUCAGUUCGUACUGUGUGCAGUCUGUCUGAAGUUAAUAUUCCAGGGAUGGAGCAGCCUUUUAAGUCCGUUUCGAUUCGAGUUGGGAGGGGGAGGGUGCAGUUUGGGAACUGUGAAGCUUUUUCUGGCCCCCUUUAAGAGUAGCUUUCAUUUUCAUUCCACCUUGUGAUCCACUGUUUUUUUUCAAGGUUAUCAUUAUAUUUUUCAUCUUUGAUCUCCCGCUCUUCCUUCCGGAUCCUCACAGCAUGGUAUCGGGGAACGCUAUCAUCGUACCUAGAGCGUUUAAAGAAUCCGCACUGACGAAGGGGAAAGAGAAACAGAAACAAACUAAGUAUCUCAAGAAAAGCAAAUGCACAAAAUGGGAAUGUCUAAGCUUUCUGUUCAGCUACGCCUACCUUUGGAUGAAGGGGAAAAAAUAAACAUGGUUUCUUUUAAGAAGGAACUAAUAGGUCCAAAAGACAUACCAGCAGUGGGGAUAAACAGAAGAGAAGACAGCUGUAACAUUGGAAGAAAAGUCCGUUUUUCCAUUGUGUCUCUACUAACAAACUUAAGAGUUACGGAAAAAUGCUUCCAUUUUUUAUAAUCACGAUAUUAUAUGUUAAAGAUCUAAUUUUUAGGUUAAAAAGAUUGGUCUUUAAAAAUGAUAUUCUAAUAAAGGCCAUAAACCAAAGAUUAUUCAUACCCCUUUCCCACUAACAAAAUGGAAUCAGAUCACAAAUAUUUUACAAGUUACUAUUUAAAUAUGUCAGUGUUCAAAUGGGCCAAUUUAAGAAUCCUCUCUCCUCCAAGGCUCAGCACAUAUCUCUCAUUAGCUACCAGGCAAUUUACACUGCCUGGAUUUCCUGUUGUGCUUAUAAAUUAAGCUGUUUCAUUAAUAAAUCAUGUAGUAACUGUG